GACGAACGCUGGCGGCGUGCCUAAUACAUGCAAGUCGAGCGCUGAAGGCUGGUACUUGUACCAACUGGCUGAGCAGCGCACGGGUGAGUAACGCGUGGGGAAUCUGCCUUUCAGCGGGGGACAACAUGUGGAAACGAAUGCUAAUACCGCAUAAAAACUUUAAACACAAGUUCUAAGGUUGAAAGAUGCAAUUGCAUCACUCAAAGAUGAUCCCGCGUUGUAUUAGCUAGUUGGUGAGGUAAAGGCUCACCAACGCGGGGAUACAUAGCCGCACUGAGAGGGUGGUUGGCCCAACUGGGAGUGUGACCGGGCCCAAGACCCUAAGGGUGGGAGCCGGAGGGCAACUUUGGGAAAGGACGGAAGUCUGACCGAACAACGCCGCGUGAGUGAAGAAGGGUGUCGGGUCGGGAAAGUCUGUUGGUAGGGAAGAAAGUUCGUGAGAGUGGAACGCUCAUAGAGUGACGGUAACUAGACAGAAAGCGACGGCUAACUACGUG
rnacentral:rRNA from 1 species